UUCAAACACGCAUUGGAUGGGAACGGGACAUCGGAUGUGGAUACCACCACAGGGAAUAUGGUAGCCCCCGACACGAUCUUCCUGAUGAUGGAGUCAAAUCUUCAAACGCUUUGCGGAAUAAAAUUGUACCGACCAACAGAAGAAUCAGCAUCCAAUCCAAAGAGCGAUUGCUUAGAAGAUAUUCAAGUCUACGACUUUAUAGCAUGCAUUCCAGUUGAAAACACCUGAUAACUACCCCAUAUUGUUGAUUCAACCGUUUAGUCGUAAGAAUUCAGAUCUUCCACGUCGAAGAAAAAAAAUAAAGAGGCCCUCAACAGGAAUCAAAGGGAUUUCGUCAAAUUCCACUGUGCAGGAAAUCAAGUUCAGGGGUUGUCUAUGACCAAAUUUGCCAAGGUGAAAUCAAAAUUAAUGGGUGUUUGAAGAAGAUUCAAUUUCAAACCGGUGAUCAAUUUCGACCUAGGAAAAGUGAUGGCCAUCCCGAAGUAUUCCAAAUUUCUGACAGAAGUUCUACAAAGAAGAUAUCCAGCAGAAUCGAGGGUAGUAUAGACAUCCCGGGUCCAAAACCACGGAUCUUCCAGAGAGCACACCUGUGGAAAUUGGAAACGAGACGUUACAAACUUCAACCGCCUGAGGUCAGCGACUGCUACAUUUGCAACAACUAAAAAGAAAAUCUACUCGCCACGUUGCCUCAACAAAUCCAUAAUUGGUUCCAACUGCUGCCCGACCAAUUAAUAUUCUUCGGCUUCACACAGAGCAGCUAUGCGAGUGAGUACACUCGGAUUGUCAUCAAAAUGUAAAAGGUAGGAGAACUGCACAUUGCCUACACGUUUGUUACUGUUGUAAUUGUAUGUUUAAAAUCAAGUAUCAAGUAUCAAGUAUCAAGUAUCAAG